rnacentral:rRNA from 1 species
GACGGACGCUGGCGGCGUGCUUAACACAUGCAAGUCGAACGGAAAGGCCCUGCUUUUGUGGGGUGCUCGAGUGGCGAACGGGUGAGUAACACGUGAGUAACCUGCCCUUGACUUUGGGAUAACUUCAGGAAACUGGGGCUAAUACCGGAUAGGAGCUCCUGCUGCAUGGUGGGGGUUGGAAAGUUUCGGCGGUUGGGGUUGGACUCGCGGCUUAUCAGCUUGUUGGUGGGGUAGUGGCUUACCAAGGCUUUGACGGGUAGCCGGCCUGAGAGGGUGACCGGCCACAUUGGGACUGGGCUACGGCCCAGACUCAUACGGGAGGCAGCAGUGGGGAAUAUUGCCCGAUGGGAGGAAGCCUGAUGCAGCAACGCCGCGUGCGGGAUGACGGCCUUCGGGUUGUAAACCGCUUUCGCCUGUGACGAAGCGUGAGUGACGGUAAUGGGUAAAGAAGCACCGGCUAAUUACGUG